AGUCAAGUCACAUUUAUUUCUGUUGUGUCAGUAGUUCACUCUGAUUGGUCGUUCUCUGUCUGCGUGUCAGUAGUUCACUCUGAUUGGUCGUUCCCUGUCUGCGUGUCAGUAGUUCACUCUGAUUGGUCGUUCUCUGUCUGCGUGUCAGUAGUUCACUCUGAUUGGUCGUUCUCUGUCUGCGUGUCAGUAGUUCACUCUGAUUGGUCGUUCUCUGUCUGCGUGUCAGUAGUUCACUCUGAUUGGUCGUUCUCUGUCUGCGUGUCAGUAGUUCACUCUGAUUGGUCGUUCUCUGUCUGCGUGUCAGUAGUUCACUCUGAUUGGUCGUUCUCUGUCUGCGUGUCAGUAGUUCACUCUGAUUGGUCGUUCUCUGUCUGCGUGUCAGUAGUUCACUCUGAUUGGUCGUUCUCUGUCUGCGUGUCAGUAGUUCACUCUGAUUGGUCGUUCUCUGUCUGCGUGUCAGUAGUUCACUCUGAUUGGUCGUUCUCUGUCUGCGUGUCAGUAGUUCACUCUGAUUGGUCGUUCUCUGUCUGCGUGUCAGUAGUUCACUCUGAUUGGUCGUUCUCUGUCUGCGUGUCAGUAGUUCACUCUGAUUGGUCGUUCUCUGUCUGCGUGUCAGUAGUUCACUCUGAUUGGUCGUUCUCUGUCUGCGUGUCAGUAGUUCACUCUGAUUGGUCGUUCUCUGUCUGCGUGUCAGUAGUUCACUCUGAUUGGUCGUUCUCUGUCUGCGUGUCAGUAGUUCACUCUGAUUGGUCGUUCUCUGUCUGCGUGUCAGUAGUUCACUCUGAUUGGUCGUUCUCUGUCUGCGUGUCAGUAGUUCACUCUGAUUGGUCGUUCUCUGUCUGCGUGUCAGUAGUUCACUCUGAUUGGUCGUUCUCUGUCUGCGUGUCAGUAGUUCACUCUGAUUGGUCGUUCUCUGUCUGCGUGUCAGUAGUUCACUCUGAUUGGUCGUUCUCUGUCUGCGUGUCAGUAGUUCACUCUGAUUGGUCGUUCUCUGUCUGCGUGUCAGUAGUUCACUCUGAUUGGUCGUUCUCUGUCUGCGUGUCAGUAGUUCACUCUGAUUGGUCGUUCUCUGUCUGCGUGUCAGUAGUUCACUCUGAUUGGUCGUUCUCUGUCUGCGUGUCAGUAGUUCACUCUGAUUGGUCGUUCUCUGUCUGCGUGUCAGUAGUUCACUCUGAUUGGUCGUUCUCUGUCUGCGUGUCAGUAGUUCACUCUGAUUGGUCGUUCUCUGUCUGCGUGUCAGUAGUUCACUCUGAUUGGUCGUUCUCUGUCUGCGUGUCAGUAGUUCACUCUGAUUGGUCGUUCUCUGUCUGCGUGUCAGUAGUUCACUCUGAUUGGUCGUUCUCUGUCUGCGUGUCAGUAGUUCACUCUGAUUGGUCGUUCUCUGUCUGCGUGUCAGUAGUUCACUCUGAUUGGUCGUUCUCUGUCUGCGUGUCAGUAGUUCACUCUGAUUGGUCGUUCUCUGUCUGCGUGUCAGUAGUUCACUCUGAUUGGUCGUUCUCUGUCUGCGUGUCAGUAGUUCACUCUGAUUGGUCGUUCUCUGUCUGCGUGUCAGUAGUUCACUCUGAUUGGUCGUUCUCUGUCUGCGUGUCAGUAGUUCACUCUGAUUGGUCGUUCUCUGUCUGCGUGUCAGUAGUUCACUCUGAUUGGUCGUUCUCUGUCUGCGUGUCAGUAGUUCACUCUGAUUGGUCGUUCUCUGUCUGCGUGUCAGUAGUUCACUCUGAUUGGUCGUUCUCUGUCUGCGUGUCAGUAGUUCACUCUGAUUGGUCGUUCUCUGUCUGCGUGUCAGUAGUUCACUCUGAUUGGUCGUUCUCUGUCUGCGUGUCAGUAGUUCACUCUGAUUGGUCGUUCUCUGUCUGCGUGUCAGUAGUUCACUCUGAUUGGUCGUUCUCUGUCUGCGUGUCAGUAGUUCACUCUGAUUGGUCGUUCUCUGUCUGCGUGUCAGUAGUUCACUCUGAUUGGUCGUUCUCUGUCUGCGUGUCAGUAGUUCACUCUGAUUGGUCGUUCUCUGUCUGCGUGUCAGUAGUUCACUCUGAUUGGUCGUUCUCUGUCUGCGUGUCAGUAGUUCACUCUGAUUGGUCGUUCUCUGUCUGCGUGUCAGUAGUUCACUCUGAUUGGUCGUUCUCUGUCUGCGUGUCAGUAGUUCACUCUGAUUGGUCGUUCUCUGUCUGCGUGUCAGUAGUUCACUCUGAUUGGUCGUUCUCUGUCUGCGUGUCAGUAGUUCACUCUGAUUGGUCGUUCUCUGUCUGCGUGUCAGUAGUUCACUCUGAUUGGUCGUUCUCUGUCUGCGUGUCAGUAGUUCACUCUGAUUGGUCGUUCUCUGUCUGCGUGUCAGUAGUUCACUCUGAUUGGUCGUUCUCUGUCUGCGUGUCAGUAGUUCACUCUGAUUGGUCGUUCUCUGUCUGUGUCAGUGUUUGUUUCUGA
ensembl:lncRNA